rnacentral:lncRNA from 1 species
AGAAAAGUCUGAUUCCUGAUCCAAAACCGGUUUUUUGAAUGAAGUUAGAAAGAAGUUCUAUUGCUCCGGAAGGAAGGCGGUAGGUGGGCUUAGAUAAGAAAUAUAGGAAUUUCUUCUCUAUAUCAAUCCUUCGAUAAAGCAAGAGACGACUAUAAAAAAAACGGACUUUUCCAUUUACCGGAAGAAAGGUCGUCAAACUGAGCGUCUG